rnacentral:tRNA from 1 species
GCGCACUUAGCUCAAAUGGUAAGAGCAUCACUCUUUGAAAGUUGAGGUUGUGGGUUCAAUUCCCACAGUGCACA